UAGUGUGCCAGUUAGAAGGGAGUCAUGAGAGUAAGUAAAAUGAAGUGCAAAUAACUGCCUAAUUAGGUGUCCAUGAAAACUGAAGAGUCUCCAAAGUCAUUAAAGAUGACCAUGCGAAACAGGCAGCCUUGUAGACUAAGAAUUAAUGCUUUCAUAACCUUCACAGCAGGAAGGUGGCUGGGAGAUUCCACGUAGAUCCCCAGAAGACUGGUUAACCUGGAUAAAGCCAUUCAAGGCAAUCAGAUAAGUAAAAUCUGAAAGAAAAGAAAGAAAGA